rnacentral:tRNA from 2 species
AUUUAUAUAGUAUAAAAAUUAUUUUUAACUUCCAAUUAAAAGAUCUAGUUAACUAGUGUAAGUA